GACGAACGCUGGCGGCGUGCCUAAUACAUGCAAGUCGAACGCACUCUCGUUUAGAUUGAAGGAGUUUGCUCCUGAUUGAUAAACAUUUGAGUGAGUGGCGGACGGGUGAGUAACACGUGGGUAACCUGCCCUAAAGUGGGGGAUAACAUUUGGAAACAGAUGUUAAUACCGCAUAAAACCUAACACCGCAUGGUGUAGGGUUGAAAGAUGGUUUCGGCUAUCACUUUAGGAUGGACCCGCGGUGCAUUAGUUAGUUGGUGAGGUAAAGGCUCACCAAGACCGUGAUGCAUAGCCGACCUGAGAGGGUAAUCGGCCACACUGGGACUGAGACACGGCCCAGACUCCUACGGGAGGCAGCAGUAGGGAAUCUUCCACAAUGGACGAAAGUCUGAUGGAGCAACGCCGCGUGAGUGAAGAAGGUUUUCGGAUCGUAAAACUCUGUUGUUGGAGAAGAAUGUAUCUGAUAGUAACUGAUCAGGUAGUGACGGUAUCCAACCAGAAAGCCACGGCUAACUACGUG
rnacentral:rRNA from 1 species